AAGGUUAAGCCUCACGGUUCAUUAGUACCGGUUAGCUCAACGCAUCGCUGCGCUUACACACCCGGCCUAUCAACGUCGUCGUCUUCAACGUUCCUUCAGGACUCUCAAGGAGUCAGGGAGAACUCAUCUCGGGGCAAGUUUCGUGCUUAGAUGCUUUCAGCACUUAUCUCUUCCGCAUUUAGCUACCGGGCAGUGCCAUUGGCAUGACAACCCGAACACCAGUGAUGCGUCCACUCCGGUCCUCUCGUACUAGGAGCAGCCCCCCUCAGUUCUCCAGCGCCCACGGCAGAUAGGGACCGAACUGUCUCACGACGUUCUAAACCCAGCUCGCGUACCACUUUAAAUGGCGAACAGCCAUACCCUUGGGACCUACUUCAGCCCCAGGAUGUGAUGAGCCGACAUCGAGGUGCCAAACACCGCCGUCGAUAUGAACUCUUGGGCGGUAUCAGCCUGUUAUCCCCGGAGUACCUUUUAUCCGUUGAGCGAUGGCCCUUCCAUUCAGAACCACCGGAUCACUAUGACCUGCUUUCGCACCUGCUCGCGCCGUCACGCUCGCAGUCAAGCUGGCUUAUGCCAUUGCACUAACCUCCUGAUGUCCGACCAGGAUUAGCCAACCUUCGUGCUCCUCCGUUACUCUUUAGGAGGAGACCGCCCCAGUCAAACUACCCACCAGACACUGUCCGCAACCCGGAUUACGGGUCCACGUUAGAACAUCAAACAUUAAAGGGUGGUAUUUCAAGGCCGGCUCCAUGCAGACUGGCGUCCACACUUCUAAGCCUCCCACCUAUCCUACACAUCAAGGCUCAAUGUUCAGUGUCAAGCUAUAGUAAAGGUUCACGGGGUCUUUCCGUCUUGCCGCGGGUACACUGCAUCUUCACAGCGAGUUCAAUUUCACUGAGUCUCGGGUGGAGACAGCCUGGCCAUCAUUACGCCAUUCGUGCAGGUCGGAACUUACCCGACAAGGAAUUUCGCUACCUUAGGACCGUUAUAGUUACGGCCGCCGUUUACCGGGGCUUCGAUCAAGAGCUUCGCUUGCGCUGACCCCAUCAAUUAACCUUCCGGCACCGGGCAGGCGUCACACCGUAUACGUCCACUUUCGUGUUUGCACAGUGCUGUGUUUUUAAUAAACAGUUGCAGCCAGCUGGUAUCUUCGACUGAUUUCAGCUCCAUCCGCGAGGGACUUCACCUACAUAUCAGCGUGCCUUCUCCCGAAGUUACGGCACCAUUUUGCCUAGUUCCUUCACCCGAGUUCUCUCAAGCGCCUUGGUAUUCUCUACCUGACCACCUGUGUCGGUUUGGGGUACGAUUUGAUGUUACCUGAUGCUUAGAGGCUUUUCCUGGAAGCAGGGCAUUUGUUGCUUCAGCACCGUAGUGCCUCGUCAUCACGCCUCAGCCUUGAUUUUCCGGAUUUGCCUGGAAAAUCAGCCUACACGCUUAAACCGGGACAACCGUCGCCCGGCCAACAUAGCCUUCUCCGUCCCCCCUUCGCAGUAACACCAAGUACAGGAAUAUUAACCUGUUUCCCAUCGACUACGCCUUUCGGCCUCGCCUUAGGGGUCGACUCACCCUGCCCCGAUUAACGUUGGACAGGAACCCUUGGUCUUCCGGCGAGCGGGCUUUUCACCCGCUUUAUCGUUACUUAUGUCAGCAUUCGCACUUCUGAUACCUCCAGCAUGCCUCACAGCACACCUUCACAGGCUUACAGAACGCUCCCCUACCCAACAACGCAUAAGCGUCGCUGCCGCAGCUUCGGUGCAUGGUUUAGCCCCGUUACAUCUUCCGCGCAGGCCGACUCGACCAGUGAGCUAUUACGCUUUCUUUAAAUGAUGGCUGCUUCUAAGCCAACAUCCUGGCUGUCUGGGCCUUCCCACAUCGUUUCCCACUUAACCAUGACUUUGGGACCUUAGCUGGCGGUCUGGGUUGUUUCCCUCUUCACGACGGACGUUAGCACCCGCCGUGUGUCUCCCGUGAUAACAUUCUCCGGUAUUCGCAGUUUGCAUCGGGUUGGUAAGUCGGGAUGACCCCCUUGCCGAAACAGUGCUCUACCCCCGGAGAUGAAUUCACGAGGCGCUACCUAAAUAGCUUUCGGGGAGAACCAGCUAUCUCCCGGUUUGAUUGGCCUUUCACCCCCAGCCACAAGUCAUCCGCUAAUUUUUCAACAUUAGUCGGUUCGGUCCUCCAGUUAGUGUUACCCAACCUUCAACCUGCCCAUGGCUAGAUCACCGGGUUUCGGGUCUAUACCCUGCAACUUAACGCCCAGUUAAGACUCGGUUUCCCUUCGGCUCCCCUAUUCGGUUAACCUUGCUACAGAAUAUAAGUCGCUGACCCAUUAUACAAAAGGUACGCAGUCACCCCAUAAAGAGGCUCCCACUGCUUGUACGUACACGGUUUCAGGUUCUUUUUCACUCCCCUCGCCGGGGUUCUUUUCGCCUUUCCCUCACGGUACUGGUUCACUAUCGGUCAGUCAGGAGUAUUUAGCCUUGGACGGAUGGUCCCCCCAUAUUCAGACAGGAUACCACGUUGUCCCGCCCUACUCAUCGAGCUCACAGCAUGUGCAUUUUUGUGUACGGGGCUGUCACCCUGUAUCGCGCGCCUUUCCAGACGCUUCCACUAACACACACACUGAUUCAGGCUCUGGGCUGCUCCCCGUUCGCUCGCCGCUACUGGGGGAAUCUCGGUUGAUUUCUUUUCCUCGGGGUACUUAGAUGUUUCAGUUCCCCCGGUUCGCCUCAUUAACCUAUGGAUUCAGUUAAUGAUAGUGUGUCGAAACACACUGGGUUUCCCCAUUCGGAAAUCGCCGGUUAUAACGGUUCAUAUCACCUUACCGACGCUUAUCGCAGAUUAGCACGUCCUUCAUCGCCUCUGACUGCCAGGGCAUCCACCGUGUACGCUUAGUCGCUUAA
rnacentral:rRNA from 1 species